rnacentral:rRNA from 1 species
UCGGGAAUAUUGCGCAAUGGAGGAAACUCUGACGCAGUGACGCCGCGUGCAGGAAGAAGGUUUUCGGAUUGUAAACUGCUUUAGACAGGGAAGAAAGAAAUGACGGUACCUGUAGAAUAAGCUCCGGCUAACUACGUGCCAGCAGCCGCGGUAAUACGUAGGGAGCAAGCGUUAUCCGGAUUUAUUGGGUGUAAAGGGUGCGUAGACGGGUAUACAAGUUAGUAGUGAAAUCCCUCGGCUUAACUGAGAAACUGCUACUAAAACUAUAUAUCUUGAGUACUGGAGGGGAAAGCGGAAUUCCUAGUGUAGCGGUGAAAUGCGUAGAUAUUAGGAAGAACGCCGGUGGCGAAGGCGGCUUUCUGGACAGAAACUGACGUUGAGGCACGAAAGUGUGGGAGCAAACAGGAUUAGAUACC